rnacentral:rRNA from 1 species
GGCUAGGAUAUCGGUUGCCCGCAACCGGUGGAGCCGCUGGUGAGAUACCACUCUCGUUGAACUUGGACUCUAAGAGUGACUCCGCAUCCGGACACUCAACAGUUUCAGGUGGACAGUUUCUCUGGGGCAGAGACCUCCUAAAAGGUAACGGAGGUGUACAAAGGUUCCCUCAGGCUGGUCGGAAAUCAGCUGGAGAGUACAAAGAUACAAGGGAGCUUGAUGGCGAGACCUACAAGUCGAGCCGGGACGAAAGUCGGUCUUAGUGACCCGACAGUGCUGUGUGGAAAGGCUGUCGCUCAACGGAUAAAAGUUACUCUAGGGAUAACA